UACGUAGGGUGCGAGCGUUAAUCGGAAUUACUGGGCGUAAAGCGUGCGCAGGCGGUUUUGCAAGGCAGAUGUGAAAUCCCCGGGCUUAACCUGGGAACUGCAUUUGUGACUGCACAGCUGGAGUGCGGCAGAGGGGGAUGGAAUUCCGCGUGUAGCAGUGAAAUGCGUAGAUAUGCGGAGGAACACCGAUGGCGAAGGCAAUCCCCUGGGCCUGCACUGACGCUCAUGCACGAAAGCGUGGGGAGCAAACAGG
rnacentral:rRNA from 1 species